rnacentral:rRNA from 1 species
CCCUUAGAUGUCCUGGGCCGCACGCGCGCUACACUGAUGCAUUCAACGAGUUUCUUCCUGGUCCGAGAGGAAUGGGUAACCUUUUGAAAGUGCAUCGUGAUAGGGAUAGACUAUUGCAAUUAUUGGUCUUCAACGAGGAAUUCCUAGUAGACGUAGUUCAUCAGACUGCAUCGAUUACGUCCCUGCCCUUUGUACACACCGCCCGUCGCUCCUACCGAUUGAGUGAUCCGGUGAGGCUCUGGGACCUGGACGGAAAGAGCGUUUCGCUUGUUCUGUUUGGGAAACUUGGUCGAACCUUAUCAUUUAGAGGAAGGAGAAGUCGUAACA